rnacentral:lncRNA from 1 species
GCCCAUGCUUGGCAAGGCCUUGAGGUAGGCCAGGUUGGCUCUGUCUUUGGUCAGGACAGUGUUUUGACUGGGGCUGAUUCAACAACACUUUUGGGUUUUGGGGUAGAAGUAGUUUGUAGGCUGGGCGCGGUGGCUCACGCCUAUAAUCCCAGCACUUUGGAACAUAUUUAUCAGGUGCCUGCUAUCCUAGGCAUUAGAAAUGCAGUGGUAAGACCAGGCGCA